UAGUAGAAGCUUUAAAGAGACUCCACCACGCGAAUUCUGAUUGGCUAAGAGAGCUGUCAAUCAUCUCAGCUCUCUGUAGCCAGCAAGUCGCUGGGCCCUGAGAACAGCCAGCGACUGAAGAGAGGAAUGCCCUCAGUGAGAUGGGAACAGAGAUAUAACUCUUUGAGAAAACAGACAACCACCACAAAGUCUGACACCAGAGACAGAUCUGCUGAAGAAGAAUGUGGUCUACAGGCACUCAGACCAG